rnacentral:rRNA from 1 species
UACAGAGGUCUCAAGCGUUGUUCGGAUUCAUUGGGCGUAAAGGGUGCGUAGGUGGCGCCGUAAGUCAGGUGUGAAAUCUCGGGGCUCAACCCCGAAACUGCACUUGAUACUGCGGUGCUCGAGUACUGGAGAGGAGAUUGGAAUUUACGGUGUAGCAGUGAAAUGCGUAGAGAUCGUAAGGAAGACCAGUGGCGAAGGCGGGUCUCUGGGCAGUAACUGACGCUGAGGAGCGAAAGCGUGGGGAGCGAACAGG